rnacentral:piRNA from 1 species
UGCUAAGUGUCUAUUAGCUGUAAAGGGU